rnacentral:rRNA from 1 species
UACAUGGGGUGCAAACGUUGCUCGGAAUUAUUGGGCGUAAAGCGCGCUGUAGGCGGUUACUUAAGUCGGAUGUGAAAGUCCUCGGCUUAACUGAGGAAGUGCACCCGAAACUGAGUAGCUAGAGUACGAAAGAGGGUCGCGGAAUUCCCGGUGUAGAGGUGAAAUUCGUAGAUAUCGGGAGGAAACACCGGUGGCGAAGGCGGCGACCUGGGUCGAGACUGACGCUGAGGCGCGAAAGCGUGGGGAGCAACAGG